CAGGCUUAACACAUGCAAGUCGAGGGGCAUCAGGAAGAAAGCUUGCUUUCUUUGCUGGCGACCGGCGCACGGGUGAGUAACACGUAUCCAACCUGCCCUUUACUCGGGGAUAGCCUUUCGAAAGAAAGAUUAAUACCCGAUGGCAUAAUGAUUCCGCAUGGUUUCAUUAUUAAAGGAUUCCGGUAAAGGAUGGGGAUGCGUUCCAUUAGGUUGUUGGUGGGGUAACGGCCCACCAAGCCUUCGAUGGAUAGGGGUUCUGAGAGGAAGGUCCCCCACAUUGGAACUGAGACACGGUCCAAACUCCUACGGGAGGCAGCAGUGAGGAAUAUUGGUCAAUGGGCGCUAGCCUGAACCAGCCAAGUAGCGUGAAGGAUGAAGGCUCUAUGGGUCGUAAACUUCUUUUAUAUAAGAAUAAAGUGCAGUAUGUAUACUGUUUUGUAUGUAUUAUAUGAAUAAGGAUCGGCUAACUCCGUGCCAGCAGCCGCGGUAAUACAGAGGAUCCGAGCGUUAUCCGGAUUUAUUGGGUUUAAAGGGAGCGUAGGUGGACUGGUAAGUCAGUUGUGAAAGUUUGCGGCUCAACCGUAAAAUUGCAGUUGAUACUGUCAGUCAUGAGUACAGUAGAGGUGGGCGGAAUUCGUGGUGUAGCGGUGAAAUGCUUAGAUAUCACGAAGAACUCCGAUUGCGAAGGCAGCUCACUGGACUGCAACUGACACUGAUGCUCGAAAGUGUGGGUAUCAAACAGGAUUAGAUACCCUGGUAGUCCACACAGUAAACGAUGAAUACUCGCUGUUUGCGAUAUACAGUAAGCGGCCAAGCGAAAGCAUUAAGUAUUCCACCUGGGGAGUACGCCGGCAACGGUGAAACUCAAAGGAAUUGACGGGGGCCCGCACAAGCGGAGGAACAUGUGGUUUAAUUCGAUGAUACGCGAGGAACCUUACCCGGGCUUAAAUUGCAGUGGAAUGAUGUGGAAACAUGUCAGUGAGCAAUCACCGCUGUGAAGGUGCUGCAUGGUUGUCGUCAGCUCGUGCCGUGAGGUGUCGGCUUAAGUGCCAUAACGAGCGCAACCCUUAUCUUUAGUUACUAACAGGUUAUGCUGAGGACUCUAGAGAGACUGCCGUCGUAAGAUGUGAGGAAGGUGGGGAUGACGUCAAAUCAGCACGGCCCUUACGUCCGAGGCUACACACGUGUUACAAUGGGGGGUACAGAAGGCAGCUAGCGGGUGACCGUAUGCUAAUCCCAAAAGCCUCUCUCAGUUCGGAUCGAAGUCUGCAACCCGACUUCGUGAAGCUGGAUUCGCUAGUAAUCGCGCAUCAGCCACGGCGCGGUGAAUACGUUCCCGGGCCUUGUACACACCGCCCGUCAAGCCAUGGGAGCCGGGGGUACCUGAAGUACGUAACCGCAAGGAUCGUCCUAGGGUAAAACUGGUGACUGGGGC
rnacentral:rRNA from 1 species